AUUGGCGGGCCGGGGAGGGAGGGCUGGGCCGCGCCGGCGGCGGAGGGAUACGGGCCGCCCCUGUGAGUACCUUACGUGCUGUCGCCGUCGCCGCCACGGCCGCCGAGACGAUGACGCCGCGAAGCGCAAGGAGGAGAUCUCGCGAGACCUGUGGUGAGGGUCGCAGAAGCUCCCUCACUACGACCCUUGAGUCCUUUACCUGUGGUCCCUCAUUCGCGUGACAUCUGAGAUCAAUAAAAGUUAAAAGCGAAUGUUUUUCAGAUCACUCGACCAUCCCCAGAGCAUAGACGGACCCGAGAAGAGCACUUAGGUCCAUUGCAAUGUUCCUGAAGGAGGAAAGGACUUGUCCAAGGUCACACGGCUCCACAGUGGCAAAGCUGGGACUUCCCUUAAGUCGAGAGGUUCGUCAAAUCCCUCUCUGGAAGCCGCGUGGCAACAGCCUGGGCACCUGCGGGAACGUGGUUGUACAAGCACGCCGCAGGCAGCCCUGAGAUGGUGUUUCCGACGAAGGCCCCAGCUGAGAGACAGUUUGAAUGUCUCAGCCACUGGCAUGUCAGGAGAAGUGCUCUGCUUGGGACCUUGAAGAUCAUCGAUUAACAGAGGAGAAACUGGAGCCCCUAAGGAAAAGGAUCUUGCCAAAAGUCACACAAUAGAUCAUCAGCAAAACUUGUACUGCCUCAUCUACUGAGUAGAGGCUGGACCCAUAGGGCAGGGCCACCAUGGACCCAGGCUUCCCUGGUGGUGAAGAAUCCGCCUGCCAAUGCAGGGAACACGGGUUUGAGCCCUGGGCCGGGAAGAUCACACGUGCCGCAGAGCAACUAAGCCCGUGUGCCACAACUACUGAGCCUGCGCUCCAGAUCCCACGAGCCACAACUACUGAGCCCACGUGCCACAACUACGGAAGCCCGCACGCCUAGAGCCUGUGCUCCACAACAAGAGAAGCCACCGCAAUGAGAAGCCCGUGCACCACAAUGAAGAGCAGCCCCCGCUCACCGCAACUAGAGAAAGCCCGGGCGCAGCAAUGAAGAUCCAAUGCAGCCAUAAAUAAAUAAAUAAAAUUAAUAAAUUUAAAAAAAUAUAUUGCUAUAGUGAAAAAAAUAUACUGCUAUAGUGGAUAUUCUGUAGUUGAUCUUUGUACAACUCUAAGAGGGCUUUUUGGUAUAAAUUCCUAGGAAUGAAAUUGCUAUAUCAAAGACUGAUCAGAUUUUUGCAUCUAUGUUCAUGAGGGAUAAGGGUUUAUAAUUUUCUUUUCUUGUAAUAUCUUUGUCAACUUUUCAUAUCAACGUUAUUCUUGCCUCAUAAAAUAAAUCGGAAAGUGUUCCUCCUCUAUGUUCUG